rnacentral:lncRNA from 1 species
GUGGAUCGCACAGUUGCCCUCCCUUAAGCUGUUAAUAUGGUGUUUUACGCAACCAGAUAUGCUUGCAUUCCUGCGAUAACACCGCAGGGUUUUAACCAGGUGAUUAACGUGAUCUGGUUUACUUACAAAAGUUCCCUCUGGCUGCGGAGUGGAGAGUGCCGUGUCUGGGAGCAAGAGGGAAAGCGGGAAAAUCAGCCGGCAGGUUGUAGCGAUCUCAGUAAUCCGGCUCACUGGUCUUUCCGCUGGAGCCUUGGUUCUUCGCCUUACAGCAGAAGUGAGCCAAAUUGAAAAACCAUUAGCAACCCAGAACUAGAGCUGGACUGAGAGCUGAUGGGUCCCGCAUCUUGCUUAAUUCCGUUGCCUUGCACCUGUCCUGGGGGGUCCAGCACCUCCCAGGAUGAUGGAGCCAUGAAACCGAAGCCCCAACUCGCAACCCUUUCGCAACGAUUCCAAGUGAACCAUUCACCGAAUGAAGUCGCAAGUUGCCUCUGUUCAAUUGCGUGGGGAGAAAUAAAAAGAAACUCCCCCAACCUGCCUGACUGGUUCUGAGACUGGAAACUUGUCCAGCUCCUUUAUGUAAUGUAUAACCUGGAUGCUAGUCCCGGCUCUACUCAGCUCUUUGUUCACACCAACGCCCCCAAUCCUAUAACACACGCCAUCUUCCCUGGUAGAUCGGCCCCUCUUUAACAGAUCCUGAAGAUUUUAGCAUGGCACAUUUUCGUCAGGGUUCAGAAGAAAG